GCGAGGCCACAAAGCCACGAAGUGUUCGCAAGUCAGAUAUACGAAAACAUAUCGCGUCAAUCGACAGAGAACAGAAGAGCAAGUAAACGCUGUCACACACGUCGACAUAACAACACUACGAAUGAAGCACAAGUGCUCAAUAAUCACACCAACAACAAACACAGCCCACAAUAGCAUUAGCAAGAGUGUUGGGACAAAAGACGCCAAAGAAGGGAAGUGGCAACAAGUAACAAGAUAACUUGCUGAACCACAAAGGAUAUCAGUGAAGCAGAUGGAGGUGCCGGAGCUGUUGCUGUAGCCGUAGCGAUAGUCAACGUCGGAGUCGUAGCCGGAGCCUUCGUCUAGAUAGUAUACGUACACAACAAAUUAACCUUCAAACGGCUGGCGUGCGUGCAUAACCACGCAUACGCUCUACUUGCACAUACAUAUAUAAGAACGCAGCUGCAUUAUACGAAAGCGAUAAAAGAGAGGUUGUAAAAGUUGAAACAGAUACAGAAACCGAUGCAAAAGCAACGUAUAACGAUUGAGUGCAACACGCAGGCGGCGGCGAAUAUGUAUAUCGUAGCACCACAGACACUCCUUCACGGCUUCAUCUCUAAAAUUUCAAAGGACAUGUGUAUUAUCGAAAGAAUUCUUGUUUCUUUCGGCCCUCGACUCGAUAGCCUUUGCAUCGGGGGCUUCGGAGCAAAGGUUUUUUCAUCGCUCCGCUCCGGUAUUUUAUUUCGCUCCGAGCUCUGCUCCCGCUCCCAAUAAAAAACUCUUUUUAACCGACUUCAAAAAAGGAGGAGGUUAUCAGU